rnacentral:rRNA from 1 species
GACGAACGCUGGCGGCGUGCCUAAUACAUGCAAGUCGAACGCUUCUUUUUCACCGAACUUCGGUUCAUCGAAAAAGAGGAGUGGCGAACGGGUGAGUAACACGUGGGUAACCUGCCCAUCAGAAGGGGAUAACACUUGGAAACAGGUGCUAAUACCGUAUAAUGCUUUUUCUCGCAUGAGAGCAAGCUGAAAGGCGCUUUUGCGUCACUGAUGGAUGGACCCGCGGUGCAUUAGCUAGUUGGUGAGGUAACGGCUCACCAAGGCCACGAUGCAUAGCCGACCUGAGAGGGUGAUCGGCCACACUGGGACUGAGACACGGCCCAGACUCCUACGGGAGGCAGCAGUAGGGAAUCUUCGGCAAUGGACGAAAGUCUGACCGAGCAACGCCGCGUGAGUGAAGAAGGUUUUCGGAUCGUAAAACUCUGUUGUUAGAGAAGAACAAGGAUGAGAGUAAAAUGUUCAUCCCUUGACGUAUCUACC